CAAAAGAUCAGGCUCCAACACAGAUCCAAGGGCUACGUAGGAGUGAACAGAGAUAAAUCCAGACUAGGUACAAUCACAGCAUAGCUCAGAACAAGACUUGAAACCCAUGGCCUGAGCUUAAGCGGGGUUUGUGUAGGAGUGGGCAGGGUAUGGGAGUGGGCACCAGGUGAUGCUGGUGAGGGCAAUUUAGGCCAGUUAGCAUGGUCACGGCUCUGGCAGAUGUAAGCAUCUUGCAUGUGUUGGUUAGAAGUAUAGAGAGGCUUGGUUAAUUGUCAGUUUAUCUUACAGUGAAUUUAGUAAAGGUUUUAAUUUUUGUGGUUAGUCAUGUUUAUAUAAUGGAAUAUUGUUCCUUCAAGUUUUUUUUAUUGUUGUUUUUGUAAGGUAGUAAAAGGCAUUCAAGACUCCUUCCAGACAUCCUCAGCACAGCUGAAAAACCUUUUGGAAAGCACAACGCUGCCGAAGGGUCCUGAGGAAGGAUAUGACAAUGUUCUGCGAGAUGUGGAAUCUGGUAGACUGCCUGCUUCCAGUGACCUGGGGACCCUGUCAGGUACAGUGAUGAGUUCAGUUUUAUCAAGGUCCAUAGCAAACUUCAGGUAGAUAGAUUAAAAUCUUGGAUCGAAAGCUUUGUCCAUACUGGGAGUUAACUUUUCUGUGUUGUAGUGGGCAGCACAGAAAACUUUAGUUCUGGCUUUAUUUUCUAAUUGUCACUUAAUGUUGAAAUAUUACUAUUUUUCUUCUACACCUGAAAGAGAAGUUUAAUAUGCCAGGGAUGUAGCAUAUAUCUUUGCACUGUUCUUGCGCUCUACUUUUCAGGACAGUUGUCAUCAGCCUAGUCUCAUCCUCUUUCUAGCUGUAAAUCUAAAUGCACUGUAAUUUUAUUGUCAUGGUCUUACAUGCCUUCACUUCUAUUCUGCAGAAUUAGCCACAAGUUUAAAAGUCCCCAAAAACAUGAUAUUCACCUUAUUUCAAUGUAACAUUCUACUGCAUUUUUAUUAUUUUUACUUUUAAUUUUCAUUUGCAGCCCCAAGAGCUAAAACCCCUCACAUUUUAAGUGAAAUAGUUGAGGAUUUAUAAUGUAAAAGUUGUGGUCUCCUGUGCCUGCAGGAGGUGAGACUUUCUCAGAAGUACUAGAAAUUGCUAAAAUGUAGAAAAAUUGAGUUUAGUAAAGUUCUGGCUGGUUUUCUUUAGUAAGAUGAACUGUUAGGCAAUAUGUACAGGGUUGUUAAGCUGGAUGUAGGAGAGUUCAGUUUCAAAAGAGGCUAUAGGGUACAGCUGUGUGCUAACUGAUUAUUCAUUAAAAGCCAAUUCCAGUUUCACUGUUCUGACUGUCCUCAUGAGAGCUACAGGAGAAACAAAUGGGAGAAUACAUUUUUAAAAGCAGAUAUCUGCAACCUGACAUUGGGAAUACAGAUGGUUACACAUGCUGGGCAGUUUUGUUUGGUAUUGUGUUUUGCUUAUAAUUGCUUUGAAAGUGAGUUAAAGUAAAGCAAUGUUCUUUUGUUUCUGUUUUGUUUUUUUCUUUUUCACAGAUCAUAAUUUCUGCUAGUUUUAGCUUCUUCUCCCUGUAAUACCAUAGGCUUAUAGUCACCUCUCAGCU
rnacentral:lncRNA from 1 species